rnacentral:rRNA from 1 species
GUAGUCUGNAACUCGACUACAUGAAGCUGGAAUCGCUAGUAAUCGCGAAUCAGAAUGUCGCGGUGAAUACGUUCCCGGGUCUUGUACACACCGCCCGUCACACCAUGGGAGUCAGCAACGCCCGAAGUCAGUGACCUAACCGAAAGGGAGGAGCUGCCGAAGGCGGGGCCGGUAACUGGGGUGAAGUCGUAACAAGGUAUC